AUAUAUAUAUAAAUUAUUAUAUAUUACAUUAUAUAUAUAGUAUAAUAUAAUUUUGAAUAUAUAGUAUAAUUCGAAGAUGUUUAAAUUAUAAAUAUAGAUAAUGAUGAUGAUGAGAAUAAUAAUAAGAGAAAUACUUCUAUACACCGGCCAAUUUAAAUCCGACCAUUCAAUUUUUGAUGUUAAGAUUGACUUUUACACAAUGGUAACGUACAUGCUCAACAGAUUACCAAUCAAUCAAAAAAAUAAUAUUUGAAACUAUGCAUUAGCUAAUUACCAAAUUUGAUAAUAUCCAACAAAUCUUCAUUUUCUAAUUUAAUUUUGUUACUUACCAACUUAGAUA
rnacentral:lncRNA from 1 species